rnacentral:rRNA from 1 species
CCUACGGGAGGCAGCAGUAGGGAAUAUUGCUCAAUGGUGGAAACCCUGAAGCAGCAACGCCGCGUGGAGGAUGAAGGUUUUCGGAUUGUAAACUCCUUUUGUUAGAGAAGAUAAUGACGGUAUCUAACGAAUAAGCACCGGCUAACUACGUGCCACCAGCCGCGGUAAUACGGCGGGUGCAAGCGUUACUCGGAAUCACUGGGCGUAAAGAGCGCGUAGGCGGGAUAGCAAGUCAGAUGUGAAAUCCUAUGGCUUAACCAUAGAACUGCAUUUGAAACUGUUAUUCUAGAGUAUGGGAGAGGUAGGUGGAAUUCUUGGUGUAGGGGUAAAAUGCGUAGAGAUCAAGAAGAAUACUCAUUGCGAAGGCGGCAUGCUAGCGCAUAACUGACGCUGAUGCGCGAAAGCGUGGGGAGCAAACAGGAUUAGAUACCCGUGUAGUC